rnacentral:rRNA from 1 species
AUGAACGCUGGCGGCGUGCCUAAUACAUGCAAGUCGAGCGCACGGACGAGAAGCUUGCUUUUCUGAUGUUAGCGGCGGACGGGUGAGUAACACGUGGAUAACCUACCUAUAAGACUGGGAUAACUUCGGGAAACCGGAGCUAAUACCGGAUAAUAUUUUGAACCGCAUGGUUCAAAAGUGAAAGACGGUCUUGCUGUCACUUAUAGAUGGAUCCGCGCUGCAUUAGCUAGUUGGUAAGGUAACGGCUUACCAAGGCAACGAUGCAUAGCCGACCUGAGAGGGUGAGCGGCCACACUGGAACUGAGACACGGUCCAGACUCCUACGGGAGGCAGCAGUAGGGAAUCUUCCGCAAUGGGCGAAAGCCUGACGGAGCAACGCCGCGUGAGUGAUGAAGGUCUUCGGAUCGUAAAACUCUGUUAUUAGGGAAGAACAUAUGUGUAAGUAACUGUGCACAUCUUGACGGUACCUAAUCAGAAAGCCACGGCUAACUACGUG